rnacentral:misc_RNA from 1 species
UACGGAGGGUGUGAGCGUUAAUCGGAAUAACUGGUCGUAAAGCGCGCGUAGGUGGUUGAGUCAGUCAGACGUGAAGGCCCUGGGCUUAACCUAGGAACUGCACCUGAUACUGCUUGACUAGAGUACGGUAGAGGGCAGUGGAAUUUCCUGUGUAGCGGUGAAAUGCGUAGAUAUAGGAAGGAACACCAGUGGCGAAGGCGACUGCCUGGACUGAUACUGUCACUGAGGUGCGAAAGCGUGGGUAGCAAACAGG